CUGAUACUCACUGUGAAUCAGUGAGCAAAUGAAGCCACAGAAUCCAGGAUGGCCUGUCCAGAGCAAGCAUCUUGGGAGUUCAUCAUGGAGGAAACCCGCUUUGCAUCAAUCAUCUGUCCCGCCUUCAGGGAGAAAUGUGGACAAGUGCCUCUGUGGACCUGAAAACCCUCAGAGAGGGACUCUGGACCACUUCUGAGUUCCUGCUUUUGUGCUAGAGCACCAACAUGAGUUUAGAGACACUGUGGAAUCCUUACAAUCUGUCCAUGCCUGUGCUAAACUGGUCUAGGGUAUUAGGGAACCUUAAAGCAGAAGUAGGAUUAGACAAGUUUGAAUGGUAAAACCUAAAUCUUUUACACCAUCACUGUCAACUAUGUGUUAAAAACCUAUUGUGUUCAUGGCACUGGCCUGGGUACCAACUUGAAACUGUAAGUCUGAAAUAGUGUCGAUGGCUUCCCAACCAGACACCAUUCCCUUCCCCAUGGAUUCAUUCAGGCUAUUUAGGAUCAUUUCAGUCCCCUUGCUAGAGAUUGGUUUGGGAAUGGGCUUGCGACACAAUUCUCACCAAUGAAACAGCCAACUGCUCAGGUCUAAAACAAUUUCCACAAGAAAGAUACCAUCUGAAGAUGUCUUAUCCAGACGAGGAGAAUCAGGGGAUGUGAGGGCAAAGUGGACAUACAGGAUAGUGGAGCUGAGAAGCCCAAAGGGCUGGGGUUCUCAUGGCCAUCACUGAGCAGCUAAGUCAGGCCCCAAGCCCACUCCAUGUCUGAGCUUCUUGUUACAUGACAAAGUAUAUUUCCAACUUGUGUAAGUCAGUAUUACACUCGAUCUUUCUGUACCUUGCAAUCAAAAGCAC
rnacentral:lncRNA from 1 species